rnacentral:rRNA from 1 species
GAUGAACGCUGGCGGCGUGCCUAAUACAUGCAAGUCGAGCGAAGCGGGGACGGGUGAGUAACACGUGGAUAACCUCCUAUAAGACUGGGAUAACUUCGGGAAACCGGAGCUAAACCGGGUACUUAUAGAUGGAUCCGCGCUGCAUUAGCUAGUUGGUAAGGUAACGGCUUAACAAGGCAACGAUGGAUAGCCGCCCUGAGAGGGUGAUCGGCCACACUGGAACUGAGACACGGUCCAGCGUCCUACGGGAGGAAGCAUGAGUGAAGCGUCGGCAAUGUGCGAAAGCCUGACGGAGCAACGCCGCGGGAUUGAUGAAGUUCUGCGGUUCGUAAAACUCGGUUAUUAGGGAAGCGGUACCUAAUCAGAAAGCCACGGCUAACUACGUGCCAGCAGCCGCGGUAAUUC